rnacentral:lncRNA from 1 species
UUCUAUAAUGAUAGAAGACAGUUAUAAAAAAUAGUCCUCUCUUCCGAGCACAUACCUGCAUGAUGCCAGAUUCUCAGUGUGGGCUUCUACCAAAACAACAUAUUGCAGCAGAUGGAAUGAACGCAGCAGAGUGGGACCUUUGGAAACCUAUGUGCUCUGGCAAGGAAUGUACUGACAUUUCACUGAGAUGCACCAGUCUGUGACACAUUGGCUCCGCAUUAAUCCUCAAUAUAAGCCACAAUAUAAAAAAAUGCAAGACAACAGAUCUCUCCAGUCUGCCCCCUGUAUUCAUUUCCUCAUUCUCACUUCAUUAAAAACUUC